rnacentral:rRNA from 1 species
UGGGGAAUAUUGCGCAAUGGGCGAAAGCCUGACGCAGCGACGCCGCGUGAGGGAUGAAGGUUUUCGGAUCGUAAACCUCUGUCAGAAGGGAAGAAACCGCACUGUGCUAAUCAGCAGUGCCUUGACGGUACCUUCAAAGGAAGCACCGGCUAACUCCGUGCCAGCAGCCGCGGUAAUACGGAGGGUGCAAGCGUUAAUCGGAAUUACUGGGCGUAAAGCGCACGUAGGCUGCUUUGUAAGUCAGGGGUGAAAUCCCACGGCUCAACCGUGGAACUGCCUUUGAUACUGCUUAGCUUGAAUCCGGGAGAGGGUGGCGGAAUUCCAGGUGUAGGAGUGAAAUCCGUAGAUAUCUGGAGGAACAUCAGUGGCGAAGGCGGCCACCGGGACCGGUAUUGACGCUGAGGUGCGAAAGCGUGGGGAGCAAACAGG